rnacentral:piRNA from 1 species
UGUUGUACUGAGGAUCCGCUUCGU